rnacentral:rRNA from 1 species
GUUAGGAAUAUUGGACAAUGGGCGCAAGCCUGAUCCAGCCAUGCCGCGUGAGUGAUGAAGGCCUUCGGGUUGUAAAGCUCUUUAGCCGAUGAUUAUAAUGACUGUAGUCGGAAAAUAAGCCCCGGCUAACUUCGUGCCAGCAGCCGCGGUAAUACGAAGGGGGCGAGCGUUAUUCGGAAUCACUGGGCGUAAAGCGUGCGUAGGCGGCUUUGCAAGUUGGGAGUGAAAGCCCAGGGCUCAACCCUGGAAUUGCUCUCAAAACUGCAAGGCUCGAAUUCGGGAGAGGAUAGCGGAAUUGUCAGUGUAGCAGUGAAAUGCGUAGAUAUUGACAGGAACACCAGUGGCGUAAGCGGCUAUCUGGACCGAUAUUGACGCUGAGGCACGAAAGCGUGGGGAUCAAACAGGAUUAGAAACCCCAGUGUCC